rnacentral:tRNA from 1 species
CGGGGCGUGGCGCAGCCUGGUAGCGCGCACCGUUCGGGUCGGUGAGGCCCCCGGUUCAAAUCCGGGCGCCCCGA